UCUCCGCUCCCUCCCUUGUGUCGCCUCGAUUCAUUUUUUUGCUCUCUUAAUCUCAGUCAGCUUCCAAUUUCCAAUGUCCAACUUCCAACAACCACGCAGACACGGUCCACUCGAUUCAGUCCUGAAAUUCCCAGAGGGCAUUGCUUCAUUUUUAACUUUUGCAAACAAUUAAUCGAAUUUAAAAAAUGGAGGUAGACUUGUGUAAUUUCAAACACAUUUCCAUGAACGUUUUUGAACAUGCGAAUAACACAUUUAGCUACAUUUUAUUAUUUAGUGUUUCUUCAUAAUCUGUGAGAAGGCAAUUGUGUAAACAGCGCUAUAAAAAUCAAUAAAUCUUGACUGACUGAUUGAUGCUCUGUUAUUGUGCACCACUGUCUCGCUCUUUGGAAACUCGUGUGUGCCUGCCCGGGUUCCGGUUCUCCCUGCUUGAUGCCAGCACCCUCAGAUUAACCGCUGUCGGAGGCUCUGGCCCCGGCGGCGCUAACCUGAAUUUACGGCUGCCUGAAACAGAAAGUGGGCCUUGGAGGACCAUAAAGUCAGAGACCCAUCCAUGGGGGAGGCUGUUGGAAAGACCCCCACCCAACAAAUGGUUCAGUCCAUCCCCACCUGACUACAACAGCUCCAAGGGGAAAUGUUUUUUGACCAGACCAGUCUGCAAAACCUUUUUGCCAAGCUCUUUGAACUGGGAGGAUUUGGCUUUCUCUGAAAGUCUGACUGAGUUUUUCUGUGAGGAAAACAAAAGAUGUAGACAUUGUUUGUGAAACAAUGCCACAUCUAAACGUGCAAAAUCAGAAAGAAACAGCAAAAAACAAUCUGGAAAUCAGAUCACAAGUCAAGAAUUUACCAAUUACCUCAUCUCCUGCUUGUCAAACUAACAAAGAGAUAACUUUGGGCAGCAACUGUCAUUUUCUCUUCCCCUUACCGCUCUCCACUUGAUCAGCUGUAACGUAAGUUUGUCAGUGACUGGGUACUGCUGCUACAUCCAAGGACCAAAUUAAAAUAUCAAAUUCUU